UAGGCGGAAUGUUGCGUUAAGGGAGAGGUCGUUGUUAAACCCCACGGCCACGCGAUCGCUAAGUCCUGCCACGAGUGGCGUUCCCGACGAAAGGAGGGAUUGUGGCGCCAUGGAGGGUGACAGUCCCGUGUGGACGCGUGUGCGAUUGCCGUGCUAGGGUGAGGCCUUUCUCCCUGUGAGUCGCGUUGCUUGCACAUGCAGCGCUAAGCAGGUCGUAAACUCGAUCUAAGGCUAAAUAUAUCCACAGAACCGAUAGUGAACAAGUACCGUAAGGGAAAGUUGAAAAGAACUCUGGAGAGAGAGUCAAAAGACCGU
rnacentral:rRNA from 1 species